rnacentral:rRNA from 1 species
GUGGCGGACGGGUGAGUAACGCGUGGGUAACCUGCCUUGUACUGGGGGAUAGCAGCUGGAAACGGCUGGUAAUACCGCAUAAGCGCACAAUGUUGCAUGACAUGGUGUGAAAAACUCCGGUGGUAUAAGAUGGACCCGCGUCUGAUUAGCUAGUUGGUGAGAUAACAGCCCACCAAGGCGACGAUCAGUAGCCGACCUGAGAGGGUGACCGGCCACAUUGGGACUGAGACACGGCCCAGACUCCUACGGGAGGCAGCAGUGGGGAAUAUUGCACAAUGGAGGAAACCCUGAUGCAGCGACGCCGCGUGAGUGAAGAAGUAAUUCGUUAUGUAAAGCUCUAUCAGCAGGGAAGAUAGUGACGGUACCUGACUAAGAAGCUCCGGCUAAAUACGUGCCAGCAGCCGCGGUAAUACGUAUGGAGCAAGCGUUAUCCGGAUUUACUGGGUGUAAAGGGAGUGUAGGUGGCCAUGCAAGUCAGAAGUGAAAAUCCGGGGCUCAACCCCGGAACUGCUUUUGAAACUGUAAGGCUGGAGUGCAGGAGGGG